rnacentral:tRNA from 1 species
GCCCGGGUGGUGGAAUUGGUAGACACAAGGGACUUAAAAUCCCUAGCUCGGCAACGGGCGUGCGGGUUCGAGUCCCGCCCCGGGUA